rnacentral:rRNA from 1 species
AACGAACGCUGGCGGCAUGCCUAACACAUGCAAGUCGAACGAGACCUUCGGGUCUAGUGGCGCACGGGUGCGUAACGCGUGGGAACCUGCCCUUAGGUUCGGAAUAACUCCCCGAAAGGGGUGCUAAUACCGGAUAAUGUCUUCGGACCAAAGAUUUAGCGCCUUUGGAUGGGCCCGCGUUGGAUUAGCUAGUUGGUAGGGUAAAAGCCUACCAAGGCGACGAUCCAUAGCUGGUCUGAGAGGAUGAUCAGCCACACUGGGACUGAGACACGGCCCAGACUCCUACGGGAGGCAGCAGUGGGGAAUAUUGGACAAUGGGCGAAAGGCUGAUCCAGCAAUGCCGCGUGAGUGAUGAAGGCCGUAGGGUUGUAAAGCUCUUUUACCCGGGAUGAUAAUGACAGUACCGGGAGAAUAAGCUCCGGCUAACUCCGUG